rfam:Rhinocladiella mackenziei CBS 650.93 unplaced genomic scaffold supercont1.2, whole genome shotgun sequence.
GGUGAGGUGGCCGAGUGGUUAUGGCGCAAGUUUCAGGUUCACCUGGAGCUCUGGCUUCGAAAGGUUUUCUUCGAAUCCGCUUACUUGUGGGUAAAACCGCGUGGGUUCGAGUCCCACCCUCAUCA